AGGUUAAAACUCAAAUGAAUUGACGGGGGCCCGCACAAGCGGUGGAGCAUGUGGUUUAAUUCGAUGCAACGCGAAGAACCUUACCUGGUCUUGACAUCCAUAGAAUUCUGCAGAGAUGUGGGAGUGCUUUCGGGAACUAUGAGACAGGUGCUGCAUGGCUGUCGUCAGCUCGUGUUGUGAAAUGUUGGGUUAAGUCCCGCAACGAGCGCAACCCUUAUUCUUUGUUGCCAGCGAUUUGGUCGGGAACUCAAAGGAGACUGCCGUUGAUAAAGCGGAGGAAGGUGGGGACGACGUCAAGUCAUCAUGGCCCUUACGACCAGGGCUACACACGUGCUACAAUGGCGUAUACAAAGGGAAGCGAAGGUGCGAGCUGGAGCGGAUCUCAUAAAGUACGUCUAAGUUCGGAUUGGAGUCUGCAACUCGACUCCAUGAAGUCGGAAUCGCUAGUAAUCGUAGAUCAGAAUGCUACGGUGAAUACGUUCCCGGGCCUUGUACACACCGCCCGUCACACCAUGGGAGUGGGUUGCACCAGAAGUAGAUAGCUUAACCGCGAGGGGGGCGUUUACCACGGUGUGAUUCAUGACUGGGGUGAAGUCGUAACAAGGUAACCA
rnacentral:rRNA from 1 species